CUGUAGAAGGGCUUUCCCUCGAAAGACUACGCAUGUAAAAAGAGUUGGGGCAUCUUUAUUCUCUCUCUAUAUUAUUUUAAACAUUUUUAUAGAUUAUAUUAUGAUUGUUUAAAACUGAGAAAUGCUAAAAUAUAAAAUGACAUUUUUCUUGAAAAUAAAGAUAUUUCGGCCAGUAAAUCUUAUUAUUUCGACAAAACGUUUUGUCGAAACGUCGAGGUGAUAAAAAGAUUUACUGGCCGAAAUAUCUUUAUUUUCAAGAAAUAUGAAUGCCGGCCAGGCAGCCUCUACGAUAAAAUGACAUGUUAAGAAAAGAAAUAUCUCAAAUUCUAUAUAGAAAAAGAAUGUUUUAAAUUCAGCAACCAAAAUUCCUCUCACUUUCCUAAUAAAAUUAUUCAUAAAUCCAUAUAGGUAAACUAGUAUAACUAUCAAAUAAAAUUGUCUAUUUAUAUAAAGCGCUUUCAAAUAGAGGAAAACUUAUUCUUUCUUGAUAAAAAUAACCAAAAUUUAUAACGAUGAUUAUUGCUAGGCUAUCUCACAAAAAAGGUAAAGUGUUAUAGGCCAAUAAAAUGGUAUUAUCUAUUUAUUGGAUUAUAAACGAACUAAUCAAUCUUUGGACCCAAACCUUUUUCCUUUCAUACACAACAGGCCGUUUCUCAAGCCUUAUUUUAUACAAUAGGUUAAAAUAGCUUUUUUUAAAGCUUGAGUCAAACUUUUCUCCAGUACCUCCAGAAAUGUAAUGCAUGCAGAUGAUAAAUAAGUGAAGAGAAGGAUAAUUGAAGUAGGUUUGUGUCCUGGUUUUCAGGAGAAAAAAAAAAGAUAAAAUCUCCAGAAAGCGGUUUUAGAGUGAUGGAUGAAUGCGGUAAAAGGUAGGUGAUGCGGAAAGGGUUUUAUAAAGAAGAAAAAAAGGUCCAAAUAGGGUGAGGGAGGACAAAAAUGCUGUGGAAAUCUGGUGUUAAAAGGCCGCUGGAAUGUUUGCCAAAACUAUUUCGGGAAGUCUUCGAAAUAUUGAUUUUUUUUUCAUUUCUUCUAAAAGUGCUCUCUGCAGACAAUUGCUUGGAACUUCAAAAUGCCAUUUUAAAUUUGGGAGUUGUUCCAGCUGCAGGAGAGAGGUCGUAUGUUGGAUUGUCAGAGCGUGCAUUUUCUUGAGAUAUCUGAAGUGUAGAUCAUGGCCAUGAUAAUCUUUAUGAUGAAUUAGUUUCAUAUUGCAAGUCCACCAACACAUAUCUAGACAUGUAGAAAACAUGUUCGCUAGGGGUAAAGAUUAUAAUCAUGAUAGGUCAGGGGUGGGCAACCUUUUGAUUCGGAAGAGUCAAAACUUACAAUUUACAAAAUUUUUAAAGAGCCACAAAAUGUUUUCUUGCCAACAAUAAAUGGUACUCGCAUAAAUAAUAUUCACGUAUGGAACUAUAUAAAAAGCCGCAGCUUCACAUCCAAAGAGUAGCAUGUGACUCGCGAGCCGCAGGUUACCGACCCCUAUGAUAGGUAGCUAAUGUCUUACUGUACAUGCAUCACCGCGUGUCUAUACAUGUAGAAAACCUUUGUUAGGCAGAAUUUACUUGAGUUAUCUGAUCAUGACCAUGAAAAUCUUGAUGAGGAAUUAGUCUCUUAUUGUAAGUUCACCACCACAUGUCUACACAUGUGGAAAACAUGUUCGCCGGACAAAGUGUAUUAACUUGUUAUCUUAAGUACACUGAGAAAUUCUAAUCAUGAUAGGUAAAUUAAGGUCUUACUGUAGGUACAUCACCACAUGUCUACACAUAUAUAAAUCGUAUUUGUUUAGUCAGUAUUUACUUAAAAUAUCUGAAGUAUAAUCAGGACCAUGUGAUAAUCAUGUUGAAGAUUUACCCCUUUAUUGUAUGUGCAUCACUACACUUUUAAACAUAUAGAAAACAUGUUCACUGUGCAGGGAGCGUUGACUUGUAUUAUCCCAAGUAUACAUGGUCAUGUAUAUUCAAAUAUUAAUUAUUCAAUAUCUAGACCAAACCGCUUAUUCUAAAUUGUCCCUUUAUCCAAUGGUUAGAUUGAUGACAGAUUAAAAGUGCUAUUUUUAAAAGGAUGAUUACUCCAUAAGUUACCUACAGCUCAACUAUAGAAAUUAUAUAUGUAGAAGUUAUAUAUGUAUGUGUGUGUUAUGUGUCUGUGUGUGGUGUUUGCGUUGUGUGUACGUAUGUGUGUUUGUGUGUAUGCGUGUCUGUGUUGUGCGUGCGUUUUUGUAUGCGUGUGUGCGUGCGUGUAAGUGGGCGUGCGUGUGAUGCGUAUGAGUGAGCGUGCGUGUGUUAUAUGUGUGUUGUGCGUGCGUGUUUGUGUGAGUGAGCGUGUGUGUUUUAUGCCUGUGUGCGUGCGUGUGGUGAGUGUGAGUGAGCGUGCGGGUGUUGUGCGUUUGCUGUGCGUGUAUGAUUGUGUAGGGGCGUAUGUGUAUGUGUGGAAAAGGCUUUAGAUAAAUAGACCACACUCUAUAUGUGAGAAUAUCUAAUGUAGUAUUUCUUAAAGAGUGAUAACACAAAGAGAUACGUAAGCGCUGAAUAACAAUGUCAAAGUGCUAAACUACUACUGUUUCAAGUAAGCAUUAAUAUUUUAAAUUAAAAAUUUAUAUACACGUACAAAUGAUAAUUAUAUAUAUAAUAAUUUAGUUUUAUGUAAUCUUUCUAUAUAACUAAAAUAUAAUUAUAUUAUCUCUACAAUAUCUGUUGAAAUAGAUCAAACAAAAAUCUAUAUAGAAAGAAGCUUCAAAAAUCAAUUCUUAAUCUUCAACAAGAAUAGAUAAAAAGAAAUCAGCCACCAAAAACAUCUCAGGAAUUCUAAACGACCGGGGAUUGGGAGCGGAGAGUGAGUGAUACGAGUAAAAAUAAAUUUUUAAAAAAGCUUUUUACACCGGAGAGGUCAGUGGUAGUUAAUUGAUCCGGGGCGCAGCUAAAAAGACGGAAAUGGACCGAUGAUUAAUUAUCAUUCUUCAUUUCAUCUAUGAUGAUGAUAAUGGAACGGUGAUAAAUUGGCACGAGCGGGAAAUGGAUAGGCCCCAGUGGAUCUCUCCCGCCCCUGUCCAUUAUAAAUACUUUCUUUUAAACUUUUCUCGACCGAAUUAGAGCAUAUCGAUCCAUGGAACAGGAUCUAUCCUAACCACUCGUAGCCUCCCCUAGACCAGAGAUAUCGGCAUCAGUCCUAACACCACAGCAUUAGGUGAGUGCCGCUAUCACCCAGCUUCCACCCGACAUGUAAGGCUGGCUCUUCGGGAAAGACCUGGAUGACGACGCCAUUAUAGUGUCAACCAAAACAUGUAUUCACAGGUUCAUCCUGAACUUAGUGGUAAGUGUAGAACCCCCUUGAGCCACGUGUGUGUGUGUACGUAUGUAUGUGCGUGCAUGUGUGUAUAUGUGUUGGAAUAUAUAUGUGAGUGUGUGUAUAUUUGUUUGUAUAUGUAGGCCUGUGUGUAUAUAUGAAUGUGCGUAUAUGUGUCCGUGCGUGUAUGUGUCUAUGCAUGUGUGUAUAUAUGUGUGUGUGUUUAUAUGUGGGCUUGUGUGUGCGAGCGUGUGUAUGCUAAAAUUCUCUGAAUCGUUUCAAUUUCCUUAGUUGAACGAAGAAUAACCACUCGACGUUUUUACCCAAAUAAAACAGUAGGUUGUUCUGGAGAGUGUAUCUUUUUAUUGGCGGGAAAGAUUUUGUUGGUCUCUCGUACCAAGAAGCCGUUUGUAUUCGUUGUCUAUUCCACAGAUGGUAGGGAAACUAAACAUGAAUUGGUGGACGAAUACAUUUAUAAUUUGGGAAUAAUAUAUAGUGAUAUGAAUUGUAAGGAAUACAACAUAAGAGACUUACUUCUAUCUACCGCCUUCAGAAGGAUCCUCGGCGCCGUGAAUAUCACUCUUAAGAAGCGUCCCGCUCCACACACAGUCUACUUCCGACCUGUACGACCCCGAUUUGUAGGCUGAUCCGCUGCCCACCGACAUAUUCGUUUACUUCCCACAGAGCAAUCACUCUGACAGCCCGGAACACCUUCGCGGUCAGGCCGACAGCUGUUAUCUACCGUGCAGUGUCCGGGAUCUUCCUGAGGACUCCUUGCUGUCGAACUCCUUUCCUCAUUUUAACUUUUUUCUUUCUUGAGCCCGCGGUCAUUCCUUCACGCUUCGGUUGCCUUUUGUUCUGCCCCUGGCUUAUUCCAUCCUGCCGCGGUGCCAUUUGCCAUUAUCUUGAAUCGUGAGAUAAGAGAGUCAGAUGUCACAAUAUCCUUCGCCCAAAAUCUUACAAUCUUUAUUUUAAUUUACAUAUAUGUGCCGCCUAACAAGCGUGUACACGAUCAAGGACAUGGUUCAUCAGUUGAAAACCCUUCAGGAGGUUUCGCCAAUUUAAUAUCAAAAUACUACCGGUUGAUUUAAAAUGGUGAUGUUUGAACUCUUAGAUGAUUGGCGAAAUGAUGAACAUUCGUCAUGUACAUGACUCGGUAUGGCCAAAAUUUCACAGGAAUAAAUAUAUCUUCAGCAUUUAGUGUUCCAAUUUUAGUAUAUGUGUACCGCCGAACAUUCAGCAUUUAGUGGAUUUCUAAGGUUAUCAAACGUCACAAAUGAACUUGUAAACCUUCAAAAAAAGGUAGACAUCUUAUUUUCCCAAAGUAAACAUUUCAAAGUGAGAGAAGUUUGUUCUUCAAGAACACACACACUUCAAAUAUAUGUCAUAAUUUGUCUAAUGCCCAAUAUGUAUAAUUUAUUUUUGCCAUAAUUAGAAUGUUAAAAUGUAAAUACAAAUUAUUCCAUCUAUAAAUCUGUACAAAAUAAACGUGGGAGCCAGCGUGCGCUGGCGAACACUACGGCACACCGCCGCGUGCGCGCGCGCUCACGAGUGUGGAAUAAGUUAUUUUUUCGAAGCAUACAUACACAACGGCUGCGCCCUUCCAUUCGACCACGACAGCUACGACAUAUAUAUAUUCUUUAUAUAUCGAAAUGGUGCGAUUUUUAAAAAUCCUUUACACAACUUUGUUUUUUUCAAAGAGAAAUGCUUUUUAAAGACAAAACUCAUCAUAUUCUUUAUUAAAUUUUCCUAUUUAUCUAAUCAAAUAUUUCUCAUUUUCUAUCAUAUUUUGUUCUUUAACCCUAGAACAGUAACGAAAAAAAAAGGCAACAAGAAUAUUUUUUACGAUAUUCAAGGUCAUUUAUAAACGACCUUGUCAGUUAUAUAAGCCAGUUAUAUAUAUGACCUUGGAUAUAUGACCUUAGAAUUAUCUUGACAUAGAGGCGUGAGGACUUUGUAUCAAAGAUAUUUUUAAGAAAAAUACUUAUCAGAAUAUUUUUUGAGGUAAAUAUUUACAAUUAUUUACUUUUCGAUCUUCGUAUCAAUGUAUUAGUUUAUUUAUAAAUAAAAUCAAAUAUUUGUUUCCUAUUUGUCAAAGGUUUCUUUGGUUCAUCAAAUAUUCAACAAACCCACACACGAACUUUUUAAAAAUUCUAUAAAUAUUUAAAUUUUAUUUUAAAGUAUUUUCUUUUGGUUAUAUAUUUUUUAAAUUAAAUUUAAAGUGUUGAGAAUAUGAAAAUAUAUAAAAUUAACAGAAUAAUAAUACCGUUAAGAGAAUUUCAAAAUUUAUAAAAUUUGUUAUUUAGUUUAAACAUGUGAGGUUUGUUUUUCAUAUAUGUAAUAAAUAAAUAGUUAGCAUAUAGUAGUAUAAAGGGGGGAAAAGUAACACCAGCAAAACAUUGGUGGUGAAGCGUCAUAGGCUAGGUAAAAAAAAAGAGAGAAUUAACAGAAUGUAUAUAUAAAAUUUCUAUGUAAAUAAAAUUGUAAGUAAAAUAUAUUAAGGGGCAUUGAGAAUAUACAUCGAAAUUACGAACACACAGAAUUGAUUUUUUAUUUUUCUAAUUACAAUUUUGACCUAUGUAUUAGAAAUAUUUAUAUCAUGAGCUUAUUACAUGGUAAUAAAAAUGAAGAUUGUCUUUAUUUUAAGACAAACAUUCAAUUGAUGAUCAAAAGGUCAAAUUGAAUAUCAAAAAGGUAUAUAAAUAUGAUCGAAAUAUGACCUUAUACAUUUGUGUGUGUGGCAAUAUAUAUUAAUUUAUAAAUUCAAUUGCCAUCUAUUCUUAAAAUUUGUAACAAUUAAAUUUUUCUGGCAAUAUGUUUUUCUUUUUUAAUUAUAUCAUCAAAUAUUAUCUCUACAGAACUUACUGCAUUGAUAAAGUUUAUUGAAUGAAAGGGCUUGCCCUAUCAGUGGUGAAUCCUCUCAGUGGUUAAUUUGACUAAACCGUUGAGAAAGUUCACCACUGAUGAGCCAAGCACUCUGAUUCAUUAACUUUUAUCAAUGCAGUAAGGUCUGUAGAUAUUAUGUUUAAUGAUAUAAUUACAAGAAAACACAUUUCCAGAAAAAUUAAUUGUUACAAAUAUAUAUUUAUGUUUAUAGUAGGUCAUUCAGAAAAUUCUACGGUUUUUCGCAAAAUCUAAAAUAGAAUUUUGAGAACGUUACAAACCUUUUUCAUUUCGGCAAGAGCUUCCUUCCAUUGGAGAGAUGCCAAUAUCUUUAAUAAUAAAAUCACGAUGUUGGAACUUCCCAAACCAUCUACAAACAAUUUCAUUAUAUAAACAACACUUUGUCUAUACAUUGCACAAUUUUUACGGGCUGUUUUGAAUUCUCAUUCCUUCAAAUCUUGUAAUAAUAAAAAGUAUUCUAUUGCGAAAAAAAAUGCAUCUGGUUCUUCAUCUUCAUCCUGGCACGGUAUUGAACCUAAUGCACCAUAUAUUAACAGAAAUUUGAAGAUUAUUUGAUAUAUUAUUAGACCAGUAAGCAAUGUAUUUUUCUUGAAGAUCUCUCUCAACUAUAGACUAGAGUCCGAUUUGGUCUUGAUUUUAAAAACCAGAUAAUCAUCUCAAAUGGCCCAAAAUAUUAUGGAUUUCUUCAAGCAUAAACAUAUUUGAGUUAGGUUUGAUAUAAUGAUGCUUUAGACAAUAUCCAAAAUACUCUGAAAAUGUGUGAUUGAAAUUUAUGAUCCUGAAGAUAGAGGCAGCCUGGCCGGCAUUUCUAUUUCUAUGAAAGAUAGACAUUUCGACCAGUUAGAGUUUUUUAAUUUUCUCAACGUUUCGGCAAAAAUAUUUUGUCUUCGUCGGGAGAAGUAAAUAAAAAUAAAGCAUUUGGCAAGGCGUUAAAAAUUGUUAUUUUUUUAGAACAAUUUUUAACGCCUUGCCAAAGCUUUAUUUUUAUUUACUUACAUUUACUACAAAAAUCUUUUGUCGAAACGUUGAGAAAAUAAAAAACUCUAACUGGCCGAAGUGUCUAUUUUUCAUAGAAAUAGGAAAUAAAAUUUAUGAAUUAUUUUUAAAAUAAAAUGAUUCUGGAAGGAGAAAAGAGAUUAGAAAUAGCGUAGCCAAGAAUGAUCCCAUUGUUACAAUUGACUAUUGCUCUGUGUAAGGAAAUACUUUGACUACUGACUGAGAUGAACGUGAGAAAGAUAUUUUCUAAGGCUCUGCUUAGUGUACUUUGUAGUUGCGAUGUUACUUUUCAGUUUUUUUAGUGGCGUACCCGCUGUUGUGUUUGUUGCCAGCAGUAGUUAGCAGUAUUGAGAGACUGGUUGGCUUGGUUUGGUCUUGUUCCAUUUUGUAUUAUAAAUAUGGAGAUGAUAUUGGGUACGUUUAGUGUCUUCGCGGCAUUUUGCUGUAUGGGUGUGCGAGGGUGAGAGAUCUCUAUAGGGCCCUUUAAGUGUGUUUUAUUGUGAAUUAUUAAAGAUCGGUAUAUUUACUACAAAUUUCUAUUGCAUUGCCACGAUUUUCUUUCAAAAUUAUCAUUUUAAAGAUUUUUUUUUCAAAAUUCAUCUUCCUCAAUAGCCAACCUCAUUUCGUUUCUGAUGACCAUGAUCCCUCACUGGAGCUGAUGCCAAGCAGUCUGUCCUUAUGAUGCUCCUCGGACCCCUGGGUCCCUUGAAGACAAGUUAUUUCCUAGUCCUUUGAUUAUCUUGAAAUGAAGUCUUAUUUCUGCCUAGCGAAAACUCUGAGGUAAUCCCUUGUAUCGCCUGCAGGGUAUCCUAAACAAUAUAUUGUUCUAACAAUAGUCAUGGGGUCGUAAUUUACCCGUUGGCGAUCUUGAAACAGUUGGUUAUCCUAGCCAUUUAGCCCUUUUUGGAUCAAGUUUCUCCCUUGAUAUCGAAGAACCAUCAACUCAAUGUUUUUAUUCACCGGCUGAAAACCUUCUUCACGUUUAACUCCGGCCUACUGAUGUAUCACAAGAUGGAUUGAAGCUGAAUUUCUUGAAUCAGCACUGAAAAAUCUGAACCCUUACACCCUGCUCACGUUCAUCCUUCCAUCGUCUCUAUAAAAAGCCACUUAUUCUCACAUAUGACUUCAGUGCCUGGCCUAUUUUUCCUACAAGCUCGUUUCAAAUGGACCAAGUCGAGACAUGGCCAUUCUCCUUUCAAUCCUCUUCAAUAUCUUCCUUCUCUAGACAGAUCAUUCGACAGAGGAGAAUUAAUAUAAUUUAUUGUAAUACCAGUUUCCUAUAGAAGUCCAUUAGGACUCGUAUACAUUUACCUUUAGUUAGUUCUGUAUGACAGCAAAAGAGAUCGAAUAGAUAGGAUAUAUAAUGGAUUGUGGACUAUC